GGAUAUAGAAAUUGGGACAGUGAACAAAAUAUAGUUUGAUGAUUGUUAAUUAGAAAUAUAAAAUUUGUUAUACUCUAAUUUGUUAAAAAUGGUAUGUGAUUGAAGAUUGGAGCUCGAAGAACAUAAGAUUUGCCUCGGCACAUGUUAAGUUGAAGAACUGAUCAUCAGUUAGAAGCCGAUACUUGAGAAGCUAAGUUGUCUAUUCUUGAGCUAAAUAUAACUUGUUCUAUUUUCUUAUUUUGUUAACUUUCUCAAUUUCUAUUUCUAUGUUAGCACUUCUACCUCAUCUCUACCAAACAUUACUUUUGAAGUAACUCCACCAUGCAACUUAAUAAAAUUAAAGAUUAGCUACUAACCCCAUCAUGAAAUUAUUUAGAGUUGAGGUAGAGGUACGGACCUAGGAAAUAGAAAUUGAGACGGUGAACAAAAUAUAGUUUGAUAAUUGUUAAUUAGAAAUAGAAAACUAAUAAACUCUAAUUUGUAUAUUUGUGACUAGAUUACCCGGAGUCAUUAAGUGCGACGGAUGGAGGUUAGCUCUGGAGCGUCUUACUGUGAGUAGUAUAUUACACAUAUAUGUAUGUAUAUGCUUUUUCCCCUCUCUCCUUUGCAAUAUGCAUGCGUUUAAAUGCGAAUGAGAAUGACCAAACUUAGUGAUUAAGAUGAUAUGCCCGCAGGCAUUAUGUGAAAAAGUAGAUUUUAACUGCAUAACUAGAUUGAGUUAGAACCUCGUAGGCGAUGGGGUAAUCAUCGGACAUAGGCGCAUAUGCUUGACAAGUGAUAUUAGGCUUAAAGUGCUUUGUUAUUGUUAUUUUGAUCAGUAUUGCUAGGUGUUUAUUGAUGUUGAUGUGAUUGUGUGUAUUUGCAUCUUUAUUAUGAUCUCAAUCAGCCGUCAGAAAGAAAUGCCGCCACUAUCCAAAUAGACUGAUUGGCUUAGUAGCUAAUACUUAAUUUUUUUAAGUUGCAUGGCGGAGUUACUUCAUAGUUCUUAUUGGGUUAUUUUAGUUUUUUUGUCUGAAUUACUUUUUUUGUUUGACGUUUGAAUUGCAUUGUUUCUAAUAUUGUCUGAUGAUUGUUUAAUUAGAAAUAUAAAAUUUAUUAAACUCUAAUUUGUUAAAAGUGGUAUGUGCUUGAAGAUUGGAGCUCGAAGAACAUAAGAUUUGCCUCGGCACAUGUUAAGUUGAUGAACUGAUCAUCAGUUAGAAGCUGAUACUUGAAAAGCUAAGUUGUCUAUUCUUAAGCUAAAUAUAACUUUUUUUUUUCUUAUUUUGUUAACUAUCUCAAUUUCUAUUUCUAUGUCAGUACUUCUACCUAAUCUCUACCAAACAUUACUUUUGAAGUAACUCCACCAUGCAACUUAAUAAAAUUAAAGAUUAGCUACUAACCCUAUCAUGAAAUUAUUUAGAGUUGAGGUAGAGGUACGGACCUAGGUAAUAGAAAUUGGGACAGUGAACAAAAUAUAGUUUGAUGAUUGUUAAUUAGAAAUAUAAAAUUUGU
rnacentral:lncRNA from 1 species